rnacentral:misc_RNA from 1 species
GAUGAAGAACGUAGCGAAAUGCGAUACGUAAUGUGAAUUGCAAAUUCAGUGAAUCAUCGAGUCUUUGAACGCACAUUGCGCCCCCCGGCAUUCCGGGGAGCAUGCCUGUUCGAGCGUCUCUUGGAAUACCCCUCACGCCGGCGGAGGCGUGGUCAUGGCGGCGGUGGCGUGCCCCGAGAGGGAGGCCACCGCGCUGGAAUCCAUGGGCGGACGCCUGCCGCGUGGCCGAGCGUGAUAAGACGCACUGGCGCUCGCGCGCGGCGAGGCUGCCGGCCCUGGCCCGCUCGUCGGGCGGGGACAGCAACACUUGGGAACUCCUCGAAUCAGGUAGGGAUACCCGCUGAACUUAAGCAUAUCAAUAAGCGGAGGA